rnacentral:lncRNA from 13 species
AUGAGCCAAUUACCAGCCCACGAAAGAAUGGGAAACCCCGCCUCCAACUGGAGCUGUGGAGAUUCUCUCAGAGAAGGGUCAUUGUCCAGCACUGAUGUCCUCUUCAUCACCAACGGCAAUACUCCGAGUGUUGUAGAUGGGGACCAUGUGAGUCUGUCUCUGUGUUAUUACAACAAGACUGAUCUGAUCAGGGAGUUACAGACCAUGUGCUCCAGGAAGUCAGACAUNNNNNNNNNNGUGUGUGUGUGUGUGUGUGUGUGUGUGUGUGUCUGUCUGUUUGUCUUCAUAUGUCUAUGUGUCUGCAAAUGAGUGUGUGUGUCUGUGUGUGUGUGUGUGUUAUGAUUUGCUCAUUUCCUGUCUGUUUUUGUGUUUCUUGACAGGCCUGUCAGAGUCGUGCCUUGAUGAGCUGGCCCUGGAAUCCCUCAUGCCUCUUCAGCUGCAUCCCUCAUGCCUCUUUAGAACUACAUCUUCCUGGUACACACACAUACACACACAGGCACGCACGCGCGCACACACACACACACACACACACACACACACACACACACACACACACACACACACACACACACACACACACACACACACACACAAGGAAAGAGGAGAAGUAGAAUAUGAUUAUAUGGAUUCACAAAACAGGUCACUUGGAUUUUGGGUUUAGUAUUUUUGUGCCCUCUACUGGCCACAUGUAUACUAGCCACAUAUUUUGGGGAAUGAGAAUGAGAAUGUGGCUUGGUCCUAAUUAUCUGCCUUUCUCUAUAAGUGUGUCUGAAACUGCUUGCUAAUAAAGGACAGGAUAGAAAGGACGCUUAGUGUGUCACUUUGUGUUUUGGGCCGUAAGGGGACCUGUCAAGAGUACCUAGCCAAUCAGACUUCCCUCUGCAUCAAGACGAAGCAGGAGUCUGUGGGUGUGGCCUGUGACAUCUGGGUGGAGG